rnacentral:rRNA from 1 species
AAGGCUUACGGUGGAUUCCUUGGCAUUUAGAAGCGAUGAAGGGCGUGACUACCAACGAAAUGCUUCGGGGAGCUGGAAGUAAGCUACAAUCCGGAGGUUCCCGAAUGAGGCAACUCUUUAAUACUGCCUAUUGAAUUCAUAAAUAGGUAAGAGCUAACUUAGCGAACUGAAACAUCUUAGUAGCUAAAGGAAAAGAAAGCAAAAGCGAUUCCCUUAGUAGCGGUGAGCGAAAUGGGAACAGCCUAAACCACAUGAAUACGUUCUAGUGGGGUUGUGGGACAGUUAAAAAGGCAGAAAUGAGUUAGGUGAAGCAAUUGGAAUAUUGUAUCGUAGAAGGUGAUAAUCCUGUAGCCGAAAGCGAUUUUCUGUUUAUACUGUAUCCCGAGUAGCAUGAGGCACGUGGAAUCUCGUGUGAAUCAGCGAGGACUACCUCGUAAGGCUAAAUAUUCCUAAAUGACCGAUAGUGAACCAGUACCGUGAGGGAAAGGUGAAAAGAACCCCGGGAGGGGAGUGAAAUAGAACAUGAAACCGUAAGCUUACAAGCAGUAGGAGGACGACUCAACGUCUGACUGCGUGCAUGUUGAAGAAUGAGCCGGCGACUUGUAAAUGGUGGCGGGUUAAGAUAGAGAAUAUCAAAGCCACAGUGAAAGCGAGCUUUAAUAGAGCGUAAGUCACUAUUUACAGACCCGAACCCGGAUGAUCUAGCCAUGGCCAGGGUGAAGCUUAGGUAAUACUAAGUGGAGGUCCGAACCGACUGAUGUUGAAAAAUCAACGGACGAGCUGUGGCUAGGGGUGAAAUGCCAAUCGAAUCCGGAGCUAGCUGGUUCUCCCCGAAAUGCGUUUUGGCGCAGCGGUUGAUGCUUAAACUUAGGGGUAAAGCACUGUUUCGGUGCGGGCUGCGAGAGCGGUACCAAAUCGAGGCAAACUCUGAAUACUAAGUGUGUAGUCAACCAGUGAGACAGUGGGGGAUAAGCUUCAUUGUCAAAAGGGAAACAGCCCAGACCACCAGCUAAGGCCCCUAAAUAAUUGCUAAGUGGUAAAGGAAGUGGGAAUACAUAGNGAGGUUUGCUUAGAAGCAGCAACCCUUUAAAGAGUGCGUAAUAGCUCACUGGUCAAGUGAUCCUGCGCCGAAAAUGAAUGGGACUAAGUAUUUUGCCGAAGCUGUGGGAUGUCUAACAUCGGUAGGGGAGCGUUCUGUAUCAGAUCGAAGCAUUAGCGUAAGCGGAUGUGGACUAAACAGAAGUGAGAAUGUCGGCUUAAGUAGCGAAAACAUUGGUGAGAAUCCAAUGCCCCGAAAACCUAAGGUUUCCUUCGGAAGGUUCGUCCGCGAAGGGUGAGUCAGGUCCUAAGGCGAGGUUGAAAAACGUAGUCGAUGGAUAACAGGUUAAUAUUCCUGUACUGUUUAUUAUUGGUAUCGAGGGACAGAGAAGGCUAAAUUAGCCGGAUGUUGGUUACCGGUUUAAACUGUUAAGGUGAUGAAGGAUGGAGAAAACAUCUUGAGCUAAGCAGUGAAUACAAAACACCAAGGUGUUGAAGUAAUUGAUGUCAUACUUUCUAGAAAAGCUCGAAAUAUCUCAAAUAAUAAAUACCUGUACCCUAAACCGACACAGGUAGGUAAGUAGAGUAUACUAAGGGGCGCGAGAUAACUCUCUCUAAGGAACUCGGCAAAAUAACUCCGUAACUUCGGGAGAAGGAGUGCCUUAUUUAUAAGGUUGCAAUAACAAGAUCCAAGCAACUGUUUAUCAAAAACACAGGUCUCCGCGAAGUCGUAAGACAAUGUAUGGGGGCUGACUCCUGCCCAGUGCCGGAAGGUUAAAGAAGUUGGUUAAUCUUUAAGAUGAAGCUGACGACUGAAGCCCCGGUGAACGGCGGCCGUAACAAUAACGGUCCUAAGGUAGCGAAAUUCCUUGUCGGGUAAGUUCCGACCCGCACGAAAGGCGUAACGAUUUGGACACUGUCUCAGAGAGAGACUCGGUGAAAUAGACUUGUCUGUGAAGAUGCGGACUACCUGCACCAGGACAGAAAGACCCUAUGAAGCUUUACUGUAACUUGAAAUUGGUUUCGGGUUUUAUUUGCGCAGCAUAGGUGGGAGGCUUUGAUGUUAGUCUUACGGGAUUAAUGGAGCCAUCAGUGAGAUACCACUCUAAUAAAACUAGAACUCUAACCCUAUACCGUUAGCCGGUUAGGGGACAGUUUCAGGCGGGCAGUUUGACUGGGGCGGUCGCCUCCUAAAAGGUAACGGAGGCGUACAAAGGUUUCCUCAGAUCGGUCAGAAAUCGAUCGUAGAGUGCAAAGGCAAAAGGAAGCUUGACUGUGAGACCUACAAGUCGAACAGAGACGAAAGUCGGUCUUAGUGAUCUGGCGAUAUUGAGUGGAAAAGUCGUCACUCAACGGAUAAAAGUUACUCUAAGGAUAACAGGCUGAUCUCCCCCAAGAGUUCACAUCGACGGGGAGGUUUGGCACCUCGAUGUCGGCUCAUCGCAUCCUGGGGCGGUAGCACGUCCCAAGGGUUGGGCUGUUCGCCCAUGAAAGCGGUACGCGAGCUGGGUUCAGAACGUCGUGAGACAGUUCGGUCCAUAUCCGGUGUAGGCGUUAGAGUAUUGAGAGGAUUCUUCUUUAGUACGAGAGGACCGAGAAGAACAUACCGCUGGUGUACCAGUUAUCAUACCAAUGGUAAACGCUGGGUAGCUACGUAUGGAAAGGAUAACCGCUGAAAGCAUCUAAGUGGGAAGCCCACCUCAAGAUGAGUACUCUUAUUGU